GUUAGGUAUCAUUUCAAUCAUGUUAAAGAUGAGUUGCAAACUAUGGUGGAGAAGAUUUCCUGAAAGUCUUCUUUCUAUACCUUCAAAUCCACUGUCCCCCAACUGGAUGCUUCCCUGUUUGGGUCACAAACUCCAUCAGGGAAAUUUUCAGAUGAAGAAACAGGAAGUGGAACUGAGCGAAGUCCAAUUUUAUUUGUUAAUAAGGAAGAGGUUGAAAGCAAUGGUUAAAAUUGGAUUUUUAAACUAUCAGUGGAUGCAAUUUAUUCCAUCAUGCUGGUUCCCUGUUUGCCUUCUGUUUAUUACAGGUAAUUGAGAAUUAAUCACAUUUGUUAUUUUUAGCAUGCCCUGAUGUUGUCUGGAGAUGGAAAUGAAACUAUAAAAGCAGGUAAAGAAAAACAAUUUAAAUUCUUUAAGAAAUAUUGUUAAAAUCAGAAUUCUUGGUUUUGUUAGUUACAGAAUACUAGGAGACUUGGGAAAAG
rnacentral:lncRNA from 13 species